rnacentral:misc_RNA from 1 species
AACGCACAUUGCGCCCUUUGGUAUUCCGAAGGGCAUGCCUGUUCGAGCGUCAUUACACCCCUCAAGCACGGCUUGUUUGCUGGGCAUCUGCCCCCCGUCCAGGCGGGGCAUGCCUGAAAGUGAAUGACGGCGUCGCGACCGACUCCAAGCGUACCAAGUCUAAACAACGACGUGAGGAGAGGCCGGGGCCAGUCUCAACCCCAAUUUUUAUCAGGUUGACCUCGGAUCAGGUAGGGAUACCCGCUGAACUUAA